CAGUGUCUGGUGGGUAGUUUGACUGGGGCGGUCUCCUCCUAAAGAGUAACGGAGGAGCACGAAGGUUGGCUAAUCCUGGUCGGACAUCAGGAGGUUAGUGCAAUGGCAUAAGCCAGCUUGACUGCGAGCGUGACGGCGCGAGCAGGUGCGAAAGCAGGUCAUAGUGAUCCGGUGGUUCUGAAUGGAAGGGCCAUCGCUCAACGGAUAAAAGGUACUCCGGGGAUAACAGGCUGAUACCGCCCAAGAGUUCAUAUCGACGGCGGUGUUUGGCACCUCGAUGUCGGCUCAUCACAUCCUGGGGCUGAAGUAGGUCCCAAGGGUAUGGCUGUUCGCCAUUUAAAGUGGUACGCGAGCUGGGUUUAGAACGUCGUGAGACAGUUCGGUCCCUAUCUGCCGUGGGCGCUGGAGAACUGAGGGGGGCUGCUCCUAGUACGAGAGGACCGGAGUGGACGCAUCACUGGUGUUCGGGUUGUCAUGCCAAUGGCACUGCCCGGUAGCUAAAUGCGGAAGAGAUAAGUGCUGAAAGCAUCUAAGCACGAAACUUGCCCCGAGAUGAGUUCUCCCUGAGACUUUAGGUCUCCUGAAGGAACGUUGAAGACGACGACGUUGAUAGGCCGGGUGUGUAAGCGCAGCGAUGCGUUGAGCUAACCGGUACUAAUGAACCGUGAGGCUUAACCUUACAACGCCGAAG
rnacentral:rRNA from 1 species